rnacentral:rRNA from 1 species
GACGAACGCUGGCGGCGUGCUUAACACAUGCAAGUCAAAUGGAAAUGCCCUUCUUUUGUGGGGUGCUCGAGUGGCGAAUGGAUGACUAACACGUGAGUAACCUGCCCUUUACUUUGGGAUAUCUUCAUGAAACUUGUUCUAAUUACGUGUAGUAGCUCCUUCUUCAUGGUUGUGUUUGGUAAGUUUCGGCUGUUGGGGAUGUACUCUCGGCUUAUCAGCUUGUUGGUGGGGUAGUGGCUUACCAAGGCUUUGACGGGUAGCCGGGCUGAGAGGGUGACCGGGCAAAUAGGGAAUGAGAUAAGGGCCAGAAUCCUAAGGGAGGCAGGAGGGGGGAAUAUUGCACAAAGGGCGGAAGACUGAUACAGAAACGCUGCGUGCGGGAUGAGGGCCUUCGGGUUGUAAACAGCUUUCGCAGGUGACGAAGAGUGAGUGACGGUAAUGGGUAAAGAAGCACCGGCUAACUACGUG